GUGGGAUGACGUCAAGUCCUCAUGGCCUUUAUGCCCAGGGCUACACACGUGCUACAAUGGGCGGUACAAGAGCAGCGAGCUCGCGAGAGUAAGCAAAUACUCAAAAAGCCGUCCUCAGUUCGGAUUGGAGUCUGCAACUCGACUCCAUGAAGUUGGAAUCGCUAGUAAUCGCGGAUCAGCAUGCCGCGGUGAAUACGUUCCCGGGCCUU
rnacentral:rRNA from 1 species